rnacentral:lncRNA from 7 species
CUUGCAGACGAUUUGGCGCUGAGGCGGCGCCCCCCCCCCUAAAAGGGUGGAACGAAUCCGACCUCGACGUGACCUACGAGAAGAGAGGGGGGGGGCACGAGAGGGGCGCUGAGGGGCACCGUGUGGGGCUGCAGCCGUGGAGGGAAUCGGCGCUGGACGGGGGAAAGGUGGGGCUGCCCCAUAAGUAACCGCUGCCCCAUAAGUACUGCCCCAUAAGUAACCACUGCCCCACAAGUAACUGCUGCCCCAUAAGUAACCACUGCCCCAUAAGUAACCACAGCCCCAUAAGUAACCGCUGCCCCAUAAGUACUGCCCCAUAAGUAACCGCUGCCCCAUAAGUACUGCCCCAUACCCACUGCCCCAUAAGUAACCGCUGCCCCAUAAGCACUGCCCCAUAAGUAACCACUGCCCCAUAAGUAACCGCUGCCCCAUAAGUACUGCCCCAUAACCACUGCCCCAUAAGUAACUGCUGCCCCAUAACCACUGCCCCCAUAAGUACUGCCCCAUAAGUAACCUCUGCCCCAUAAGUACUGCCCCAUAGGUAACCACUGCCCCAUAAGUAAUCACUGCUCCAUAAGCACUGCCCCAUAAGUAACCAUUGCCCCAUAAGUAACCACUGCCCCAUAAGUACUGCCCCAUAAGUACUGCCCCAUAAGUAACCACUGCCCCAUAAAUAACCUCUGCCCCAUAAGUACUGCCCCAUAAGUACUGCACCAUAAGUAACUGCUGCCCCAUAAGUACUGCCCCAUAAUUAAUCUCUGCCCCAUAAGUAACCACAGCCCCAUAAGUAACCGCUGCCCCAUAAGUACUGCCCCAUAAGUAACCGCUGCCCCAUAAGUACUGCCCCAUAACCCCCCCCAUUAUUUCCCCAUUAUUACUUACCCCCCUUUAUUAAUCCCCAUUAUUCCCCCC